rnacentral:rRNA from 1 species
UACGAAGGGGGCUAGCGUUGUUCGGAAUUACUGGGCGUAAAGGGCGCGUAGGCGGCUCUGAUCGUCGGAUGUGAAAGGCCUGGGCUCAACCUGGGAAUGGCAUCCGAUACGGCGGGGCUGGAGUGUGGGAGAGGUUGGUGGAAUUCCCAGUGUAGAGGUGAAAUUCAUAGAUAUUGGGAAGAACACCGGUGGCGAAGGCGGCCUUCUGGCCCGCUCUUGACGCUGAGACGCGAAAGCGUGGGUAGCAAACAGG